rnacentral:rRNA from 1 species
AAGCUCGUAGUUGAAUUUCGAAUGUGGCUGGGCGGUCCGCCUCACGGUGUGUACUGUCUGACUGUGUUCUCUUUCUUGGUGAGCCGGCAUGCCCUUUACUGGGUGUGUUGGGGAACCAGGACGUUUACCUUGAGAAAAUUAGAGUGUUCAAAGCAGGCCUACGCCCGAAUACAUUAGCAUGGCAUAAUAAAAUAGGACGUGCGGUUCUAUUUUGUUGGUUUCUAGAGCCGCAGUAAUGAUUAAUAGGGAUAGUUGGG